UUGGUAAUAAUUACAAAGCGUUACUGGAUAUAAAAUGUAUCAUCAAUACCAUUUACAUAUUUUUUCAGUUGUGCCACAGAGAUUUAAUUGAAACAUUGUACACCAGCUGGCUUUAUUAAAUGUGAUUUUUUAUGUUUACAUUUAUUUUGUUCUUAAUUAUAACGGGUUUAUAACGUAUUAAUUGAUUAUCUCCAUGUAAAUAUUUUGCUGUAAACUAUUUUGUGGACAUAAAUCGGUCUGACUGAUCUAGGGUUAAACACUGUUUUAUUUAACAAAGCAUACGUCAUCAUACAGUCGUCUUCAUGAAACCAAAAUUUUAAAACUUUAACCUGUGGUCUUAGUGGCUUGAUAUAACGUGGACUUAUGACUGUGUGCAUUGCUGUCUCCCAGUGAGAGGUUACACCAGUUAGUGCAAGUCAACCUACUCGUCAGCAGAAAUCUGGAAUUCUCACUAAACCUUAAAUCUGAGUCUCCGAAGAAAGAACGUAAAGGUCCAGCUUAGCACCACUCCGAAUGUCUGUGUCAUUGAUAUGAAAUCUGGACUUUUGUUGGACAAUCCGAGGCUCUUAUCCAGCUGUGGGAGGAUCUGAAUAUGUUCUGUCCUCCACCUUCACAGCCGCCCCUCCAGACCAGCAAUAUAAUGAUACUCAUACAUAAUGAUAACACUAUAUAUAAUGAUACACUGUAGCAUAUGAAAGCUCUCUUUUUUGAAAAUAAUUAAAGUGUUUCAAUCGACAA